AAAGAGCAGCAAGAAUGAUCCCCAUGGUCUCCUGGAAGGACAGGAACUCCACCUCUUUUGGAAUGCAGGUGUUGAAAAUAAUGGUGCUUGCUCAUCAUCAUGGUUAAAAGAGGGAAUGGUUAAUAGUACCAGUGGUGUUGCUGAUCUCCCCUUCUGCACAUGGGCUGGAGGUUGGUGACAUCUGGACACCCCCCAUUUUCAAAGGGGCCAUCUCCUGGUUGGCAGGACAGCAUGUUGUGAAUGGC